UACAGAGGGGGCUAGCGUUGUUCGGAAUUACUGGGCGUAAAGGGCGCGUAGGUGGCCUGUUAAGUCGAACGUGAAAUCCCCGGGCUCAACCCGGGAACUGCGUCCGAGACUGGCAGGCUCGAAUCCGGGAGAGGGAUGUGGAAUUCCAGGUGUAGCGGUGAAAUGCGUAGAUAUCUGGAGGAACACCGAUGGCGAAGGCAGCUCGCUGGGACGGUACUGACGCUGAGGCGCGAAAGCGUGGGGAGCGAACAGG
rnacentral:rRNA from 1 species